GACGAACGCUGGCGGCGUGCUUAACACAUGCAAGUCGAACGGAAAGGCCCUUCUUUUGUGGGGUGCUCGAGUGGCGAACGUUUGAGUAACACUUUAGUAACCUGCCCUUUACUUUGGGAUACCUUCAGGAAACUGGGGCUAAUACCUGAUAGGAUCUCCUGCUGCAUGGUGGGGGUUGGAAAGUUUCGGCGGUUGGGUAUGGACUCGCGGCUUAUCAGCUUGUUGGUGUUGUAGUGGCUUACCAAGGCUUUGACGGGUAGCCGGCCUGAGAGGGUGACCGGACAAAUGGGGACUGAGAGAAGGACCAGAAUAAGAAGGGAGGCAGCAGUGGGGAAGAUUGCAAAAUGGGCGGAAGCCUGAUGCAGCAAAGAAGAGUGCGGGAUGACGGCCUUCGGGUUGUAAAAAGAGGGCGCCUGUGACGAAGCGUGAGUGACGGUAAUGGGUAAAGAAGCACCGGCUAACUACGUG
rnacentral:rRNA from 1 species